AGAGAACAAUUCAACCAAACUUGUAAAUAACCCUACGUGUUUAUGCUUGUCAUUAAAUAAUUAAUGAUUAAUGAUAUUAAUUACUACACAUCUCUUCCUUUUAUUAGUUCUUCUUUUUAGCUUUACAUAAUAGAAAGUUUUCCCUGAUUUCUAAGGCGUUUUACUGUUCAUUUCCUUGCUUCUGGCUUCAUGAGGGAAAUGUAUUUUUGCAUGAUUUUGAGGAUCAAAAUUGAUUGCAACGGUUGCUAUAGAAAGGUGAAGCAAGCACUUCUUCAAAUUCGUGAACUAGAGUCUCAUAUAAUAGAGAACAAAACUAGUAGGGUGAUUGUGUUUGGAAGAUUUAUCCCUCAAGAUAUCGCAAUCAAGAUUAGAAAGAAAACAAAUCGAAGGGUGGAGAUUUUAGAGGUACAACAACUAUUUUCUACUAACAACUCGGCCUGAAAAUUAUCAGGAUCAAGGUUCUUUGAUGAUAGAUCCACUAAUGCAAUCAAUGUGUUGAUGACGCCUCAACCUCAAUAUAAGUAAAUUUCAAGGUUGAUUGGGUUGAAGAUAAUGAUAUCUAUUAUGUAUAAUUUUUUUGAUUUAUAUAGAAAUUCAUCAAUUUGUAGCAUUUAUCCUCUUUUUUUAGUGAAGUAAUAAAUUUAUCAAUAAGUCUUGAGAGUGGCUAACCACACCGUGUGAUUACGUUGCUUGGUUUAAAGUUCAUAUGUAUGAGUAACCCAUUUAUUUAUAAGAGUA